UGAGCGUCCUAGACGUAGUAACAACGAAUCAUGAGAAGUCAGCCGAAGCCAUAGUAGUCACGAAGCUUCUGUAAUGGAAGUGGAGCGAAGGGC
rfam:Streptococcus sp. FF10 genome assembly, contig: CONTIG000007